rnacentral:rRNA from 1 species
UACGUAGGGGGCAAGCGUUGUCCGGAUUUAUUGGGCGUAAAGGGCGCGUAGGCGGCCACCGCAAGUCGGUUGUGAAAUCUCCGGGCUUAACCCGGAAAGGUCAAUCGAUACUGCGGGGCUAGAGUGCAGAAGGGGCAACUGGAAUUCUCGGUGUAGCGGUGAAAUGCGUAGAUAUCGAGAGGAACACCUGCGGCGAAGGCGGGUUGCUGGGCUGACACUGACGCUGAGGCGCGAAAGCUAGGGGAGCGAACAGG